AUUUUGCAUAAAAUGCGCAAGUAUGUAUAUGGUAAUAAGAAAUGAAGUAAAAGUUAAGCUAUUUCGACUAAGUGCGCCAAGGAUUUCUGACCAGGAUUGUAGCUAUAAUGUUUACGUUUGUUGUUAUCGCUACAUAAAUUAGGGUCUAGGUAUCUGUAAUCCUCGUAGGUUUCUGAACUAUAAUUGUAUUACAUUGAAAGAAUUACAGAAGUUUAUCAAAUCGCGACCAUCUGGACAGUUAGAACGACUUAGAACGUCCGCAUUUGAAUUUUUUGGUUUCUAUUGGCUGUACGCGUUUUGCUAUAAUUGUCACUAGCAGUGAUUUUCGACAUUAACGAAUAAAUCUUUGGUUUAUUUAAGCAACCUAUAACUAUAUUGCGUAAACGUUCUGCCACUUGCUUAAUUUCUGUCAUCAAUUGAAAUUAUUCGACCAAUAUCGCCUCUCAUUUUUGUGGCUAGACCAAAAGUAAAAUUUAUCUCGUUUUCAACAUAACAUUUUUUGUCUAUUUCUGUUUAGAAAUACUAUUCACCGCCACUUUGAGGAAAAUCUAUCAUGUUGUUACACAUGUUUCGCAAAAUAAAUCAAAUAUUUCCUCAUAAACUGUCCUAAGGGACCGCUCAUUAUUUAUUGUACAGGGGGGGAUUGAGGAGAAACUGGGGGGCCUUUAAUUUUUUUAAACCUGAAAGGGAGGCUUUGAAAAAAUAAAGAGAGACGAAAGAAGGGGGGCUUUGAAAAGAUUUACUACUGUAGUUUGAAAAAACAUUUGUAAUUUUAAAAAUGUAGACAAAACAACUUAACAACAAAUAACAAUGUUUAUAGGCCUUUAAUAUUAAUAUCAUAAAUGGAAGCCAAAUAAAUAAAAAAAAAUAAAAAAAAUAAAUAGUCUUUUAUGUUCAUGUAAAUAGACAAUUCCCAUUAUAGACUAAUUUUAAACUAGGCAAAGAGAUGCAAAUGAAUCUAGAUAGAGCUUACUAAAAUGAGUAAAAUUGCAAAGUUUGGUUGCGAAAUGUUCUAAAAUAUGGAAAAUAUAGCCUUGCAAACUUUGCAAAUUUGGUAUACUUUUGUAUUGCAUGCGGAAAUUGCUACCGGCCGCACGCAGUACAAAAGUAUACAAAAUUUGCAAACUUUGGAAGGCUAUAUUUUUCACAUUUUACAACAUUUCAUAACCAAAAUUUUCAAUUUUACUAAUUUUAGUAUGCUCUUACCGGGAAUAUAUAUUUUUUGCUAAGAUAAAAAUUAGUCUAUAAUGGGAAUUGUCUAUUAGUCCCCAUUAUCUAUUUUUAUUUCUCUAAAUAAAGAGCUAGAGUCAGGGGGGGCACCAAAAUUAAUGUUCUUGUUUUGCCUGUUGGAGGGGGCUUUGAAAAUUCUACUUGCCUUAAGAGGGGGCAACGAAAAAAAUAUUAUAACUGUAGAGUUUCUCCUCAGUCCCUCCCCUGUACAAUAAAUAAUGAGCUGUCCCUAAGCGAUUGUGGAAUUUGCAGAAAAUUAAGGAUUUUUUAAAGUAUUAUUAAAAAAACCCCUUAAACAGAAUAUCCCUGUUUAUAAUAUUUCGUGUUGUCUUCAGUAUUUAUUAUGUUUAUACCCUAAAGCAUUGUUAACAAAUACAGGAUGUAUAAAAAAUUCUGCAAACCCUUUGAAAUACAAUUUUUUUAGAAUCUGCAUGAUUCAGAACUAAUUGAUCCCAAGCGUGCGUAAACACACAAUAGUUGACCCAUUCGCAGUCGCACUGAUAAUUAGUUUUCUGCAUUACAAAUAACUUUGUGUUAUUCUAAUUUCUAUCAACGCGGUUAAUUAGAAUGUAUUUCUAAAUCCCAGGAG